rnacentral:rRNA from 1 species
UACAGAGGUCCCGAGCGUUGUUCGGAUUCACUGGGCGUAAAGGGUGCGUAGGUGGCAUAGAAAGUUUGAUGUGAAAGCUCAGGGCUUAACCCUGAAAUGGCAUUGAAUACUGCUGUGCUGGAGGUUUGGAGGGGGGACUGGAAUUCUUGGUGUAGCAGUGAAAUGCGUAGAUAUCAGGAAGAACACCUAUGGCGAAGGCAGCACUCUGGGACGGUACUGACGCUGAGACGCGAAAGCGUGGGGAGCGAACAGG